GAUGAACGCUGGCGGCGUGCCUAAUACAUGCAAGUCGAGCGAACAGACGCGGAGUUUGUUCCUCUGACGUUAGCGGCGCACGGGUGUGUAACACGUGGAUACUCUCCUUAUCAGACUGGGAUCACUACGGGACACCGGCUCUAAUCCCGGAUAAUAUAUUGCUCCGCAUGGUUCUAUAGUGAAAGACGGUUUUGCUGUCACUACUCGCUGCUUACCGGCCGCUUUAUCUUGUUGGUAAGGUAACGGCUUACCACGGCAACGAUGCGUAGCCGACGUGAGAGGGUGGUCGGCCACACUGGAACUGGAACACGGACCAGACUCCUACGAGAAGCAGCAGUAGGGAAACUUCCGCAAUGGUCGGAAGCUUGACGGAACGACGCCGCGUGAGUGGUAAAGGUCUUCGGAUCGUAAAACUCUGUUAUUAGGGAAGAACAGAUGUGUAAGUAACUAAGCACGUCGUGACGGUAACUAAUCAGAAAGCCACGGCUAACUACGUG
rnacentral:rRNA from 1 species